rnacentral:rRNA from 1 species
CCCUUAGAUGUUCUGGGCUGCACGCGCGCUACACUGAAGCGUUCAACGAGUAUUCACCUUGCCCGGGAGGGUUGGGUAAUCUUUUGAAAACGCUUCGUGAUGGGGAUAGAUUAUUGCAAUUAUUAAUCUUCAACGAGGAAUUCCUAGUAAGCGCGAGUCAUCAGCUCGUGCUGAUUACGUCCCUGCCCUUUGUACACACCGCCCGUCGCUCCUACCGAUUGAAUGGUCCGGUGAAAUCUCGGGACGGCGGCUUGGUCGCUUGCGUCCGACUGCUGAAACUUGAUUAAACCAUAUCAUUUAGAGGAAGGUGAANUCGUAACA